rnacentral:tRNA from 1 species
UGGUGGGUUACUUUAGUGGUUAUAGCAUAGGUCUUGUGACCGGAAGGUCCCAGGAUCGAAUCUUGCCAAUCAG